GCUGGUCAAAUUUUGUGGGAUUUGGAUGAUGUUUAAGGGCGAACAGCAUCUUUGACGGGUACGUAAUCGUGUUACUGCUUGUUUAUAAUCUACCUAAAGUAACAAAUUUACUGCAUUUUGCGAUUUGGUGACCAAAACAGGCAUUGUUUACAUAGGACAUUUUUAGGUUAAAUUUUCAUUGUAAGUAGGAUAUAUUGUAGUACGACCAUUUCAUUUGAUACAUCAAUUCAGUCAAGUUUUCUACGAGUUUUGAAUUUGAAUUAAUUGCUUCAUAUCUAUAUUACCCGUUCGCUUUGGCCAUUGAUAACUGUAUGACAUCACUUUCACAUCAAGUUGUCUGUCUACAAAAACAAUAAUUUGUUGCAAUAUUUUUUUAUGAUUAUGAUUUAGCUCUAGAUUAUAAUGUGAGUGCAUGUGAAAUGAUAUCUUGUUGGUAAAUAUUUAACAAUAAAUAAUAUUAGUUAGGUUUUGUAGUUAUUCUUUCCAUCCCUUUAAAAUUUGAACUUUUUUUUUCAGGAAAAUCAGAGAGUACGGUUAGGCGCAUAGUUAAUGAAGGUUUUCAGAAUAAUGGAAAAUUUAGAAUUCCUGGGAAACACAGGCAAGGCCAACCAAAGAAAGAAAUGGAUAAUUUUAAUAUUUGUGCUCUGCGCCAAAAAAUAUAAUUUUUUUACACGGUACAAAAAGAGGUCACAAAAUGUUCGCAAUCUCUAAACAUCAAACAAAAGACAUUUUCAAAGGAAAGCGUUACAUCAUAGUCCAUGCUGGAAGCGAAAAGGGGUUUGUUUCAAACUGCCUCCUCAUAUUCACUGACAGAAAUAAUUUGGAAGACUACCAUUCAGAAAUGAAUGCGCAUAACUUUACGAAGUGGAUUAAAGAAAAACUAAUACCAAAUCUUCAUGAGCCUUCCAUUAUAGUUAUGGACCUGUACCAAGACAAUUGGUUAUUUGCUUAGGCGAUAAUAGCAACAGUGAAGAUGAUGUGAGUGAUGUCAGCGUUACUUAUGAAGGUGGCAACGAAACUUUUCUUAACAUCGAAUAUUUGGAAUCCGAUGAUGAAAGUGAUUAAUAAAUGUCCUUAUUAAAUAUGUA